GACGGACGCUGGCGGCGUGCUUAACACAUGCAAGUCGAACGGAAAGGCCCUGCUUUUGUGGGGUGCUCGAGUGGCGAACGGGUGAGUAACACGUGAGUAACCUGCCCUUGACUUUGGGAUAAUUUCAGGAAACUGGGGCUAAUACCGGAUAGGAGCUCCUGCUGCAUGGUGGGGGUUGGAAAGUUUCGGCGGUUGGGGAUGGACUCGCGGCUUAUCAGCUUGUUGGUGGGGUAGUGGCUUACCAAGGCUUUGACGGGUAGCCGGCCUGAGAGGGUGACCGGCCACAUUGGGACUGAGAUACGGCCCAGACUCCUACGGGAGGCAGCAGUGGGGAAUAUUGCACAAUGGGCGGAAGCCUGAUGCAGCAACGCCGCGUGCGGGAUGACGGCCUUCGGGUUGUAAACCGCUUUCGCCUGUGACGAAGCGUGAGUGACGGUAAUGGGUAAAGAAGCACCGGCUAACUACGUGCCAGCAGCCGCGGUGAUACGUAGGGUGCGAGCGUUGUCCGGGUUUAUUGGGCGUAAAGGGCUCGUAGGUGGUUGAUCGCGUCGGAAGUGUAAUCUUGGGGCUUAACCCUGAGCGUGCUUUCGAUACGGGUUGACUUGAGGAAGGUAGGGGAGAAUGGAAUUCCUGGUGGAGCGGUGGAAUGCGCAGAUAUCAGGAGGAACACCAGUGGCGAAGGCGGUUCUCUGGGCCUUUCCUGACGCUGAGGAGCGAAAGCGUGGGGAGCGAACAGGCUUAGAUACCCUGGUAGUCCACGCUGUAAACGGUGGGUACUAGGUGUGGGGUCCAUUCCACGGGUUCCGUGCCGUAGCUAACGCUUUAAGUACCCCGCCUGGGGAGUACGGCCGCAAGGCUAAAACUCAAAGGAAUUGACGGGGCCCCGCACAAGCGGCGGAGCAUGCGGAUUAAUUCGAUGCAACGCGUAGAACCUUACCUGGGUUUGACAUGGAUCGGGAGUGCUCAGAGAUGGGUGUGCCUCUUUUGGGGUCGGUUCACAGGUGGUGCAUGGCUGUCGUCAGCUCGUGUCGUGAGAUGUUGGGUUAAGUCCCGCAACGAGCGCAACCCUUGUUCACUGUUGCCAGCACGUUAUGGUGGGGACUCAGUGGAGACCGCCGGGGUCAACUCGGAGGAAGGUGGGGAUGACGUCAAGUCAUCAUGCCCCUUAUGUCCAGGGCUUCACGCAUGCUACAAUGGCUGGUACAGAGAGUGGCGAGCCUGUGAGGGUGAGCGAAUCUCGGAAAGCCGGUCUCAGUUCGGAUUGGGGUCUGCAACUCGACCUCAUGAAGUCGGAGUCGCUAGUAAUCGCAGAUCAGCAACGCUGCGGUGAAUACGUUCCCGGGGCU
rnacentral:rRNA from 1 species